rnacentral:rRNA from 1 species
CUGGCGGCGUGCCUAAUACAUGCAAGUCGAACGCUUCUUUCCUCCCGAGUGCUUGCACUCAAUUGGAAAGAGGAGUGGCGGACGGGUGAGUAACACGUGGGUAACCUACCCAUCAGAGGGGGAUAACACUUGGAAACAGGUGCUAAUACCGCAUAACAGUUUAUGCCGCAUGGCAUAAGAGUGAAAGGCGCUUUCGGGUGUCGCUGAUGGAUGGACCCGCGGUGCAUUAGCUAGUUGGUGAGGUAACGGCUCACCAAGGCCACGAUGCAUAGCCGACCUGAGAGGGUGAUCGGCCACACUGGGACUGAGACACGGCCCAGACUCCUACGGGAGGCAGCAGUAGGGAAUCUUCGGCAAUGGACGAAAGUCUGACCGAGCAACGCCGCGUGAGUGAAGAAGGUUUUCGGAUCGUAAAACUCUGUUGUUAGAGAAGAACAAGGACGUUAGUAACUGAACGUCCCCUGACGGUAUCUAACCAGAAAGCCACGGCUAACUACGUGCCAGCAGCCGCGGUAAUACGUAGGUGGCAAGCGUUGUCCGGAUUUAUUGGGCGUAAAGCGAGCGCAGGCGGUUUCUUAAGUCUGAUGUGAAAGCCCCGGCUCAACGGGGAGGGUCAUUG